AAGCAUCAGGUAACAUCAAAUCGUACCCCAAACCGACACAGGUGGUCAGGUAGAGAAUACCAAGGCGCUUGAGAGAACUCGGGUGAAGGAACUAGGCAAAAUGGUGCCGUAACUUCGGGAGAAGGCACGCUGACACGUAGGUGAAGUGAUUUACUCAUGGAGCUGAAGUCAGUCGAAGAUACCAGCUGGCUGCAACUGUUUAUUAAAAACACAGCACUGUGCAAACACGAAAGUGGACGUAUACGGUGUGACGCCUGCCCGGUGCCGGAAGGUUAAUUGAUGGGGUCAGCGUAAGCGAAGCUCCUGAUCGAAGCCCCGGUAAACGGCGGCCGUAACUAUAACGGUCCUAAGGUAGCGAAAUUCCUUGUCGGGUAAGUUCCGACCUGCACGAAUGGCGUAAUGAUGGCCAGGCUGUCUCCACCCGAGACUCAGUGAAAUUGAACUCGCUGUGAAGAUGCAGUGUACCCGCGGCAAGACGGAAAGACCCCGUGAACCUUUACUAUAGCUUGACACUGAACAUUGAGCCUUGAUGUGUAGGAUAGGUGGGAGGCUUUGAAGUGUGGACGCCAGUCUGCAUGGAGCCGACCUUGAAAUACCACCCUUUAAUGUUUGAUGUUCUAACGUGGACCCGUAAUCCGGGUUGCGGACAGUGUCUGGUGGGUAGUUUGACUGGGGCGGUCUCCUCCUAAAGAGUAACGGAGGAGCACGAAGGUUGGCUAAUCCUGGUCGGACAUCAGGAGGUUAGUGCAAUGGCAUAAGCCAGCUUGACUGCGAGCGUGACGGCGCGAGCAGGUGCGAAAGCAGGUCAUAGUGAUCCGGUGGUUCUGAAUGGAAGGGCCAUCGCUCAACGGAUAAAAGGUACUCCGGGGAUAACAGGCUGAUACCGCCCAAGAGUUCAUAUCGACGGCGGUGUUUGGCACCUCGAUGUCGGCUCAUCACAUCCUGGGGCUGAAGUAGGUCCCAAGGGUAUGGCUGUUCGCCAUUUAAAGUGGUACGCGAGCUGGGUUUAGAACGUCGUGAGACAGUUCGGUCCCUAUCUGCCGUGGGCGCUGGAGAACUGAGGGGGGCUGCUCCUAGUACGAGAGGACCGGAGUGGACGCAUCACUGGUGUUCGGGUUGUCAUGCCAAUGGCACUGCCCGGUAGCUAAAUGCGGAAGAGAUAAGUGCUGAAAGCAUCUAAGCACGAAACUUGCCCCGAGAUGAGUUCUCCCUGAGACUUAGAGUCUCCUGAAGGAACGUUGAAGACGACGACGUUGAUAGGCCGGGUGUGUAAGCGCAGCGAUGCGUUGAGCUAACCGGUACUAAUGAACCGUGAGGCUUAACCUU
rnacentral:rRNA from 1 species